GAAACCGUUCAGGGGUAAACCCGAGAAACCCAAAAGAUCGAAUGGGGAGAUUCAUCGUCAACGACGCCGGCUCCCGCGUUGGUGCGCUAGUGCCCCGGAUGGUCCCGUUUCGGCGGGUAUCCUAUCGUCGGUGGGCACACCACCCGCGGUGAACGUUCCGGCGAAGUAGUCGUGCACUUCUCCCCUAGUAGAACGUCGCGACCCGUUGCGUGUCGGUCUACGGUCCGAGGCGAAGACUGUCCCAUCGUUUUAAUCGACGUUCGGUGAACAGCCCCUUGGUAUUUCCUGGCCGACUGCGCGACGGUACUCAGACGGUAUAGGGCCGCAAACACAAUUUUUUGUCGAACGAGUGUGCGUCCAGGACCGCCGCAAGCACGUUCCAGCGUAUCCGGAUUUACGGACUUUGUGCCGUAACCGGGCCUGGCGGGCUGUUAGCAGGAGGAGUCCUUGGACAGGCCAAACUUUAUAUUACCGGUCGGCGACGCUAUUGCUUUGGGUACUCUCGGGACCCGUCUUGAAACACGGACCAAGGAGUCUAACAUGUGCGCGAGUCAUUGGGAUUGAUGAAACCUAAAGGCGAAAUGAAAGUGAAAGUCGUCCUUUGCGUCGACCAAGGGAGGAUGGGCCUCGUUACGAUUAGGCCUCGCACUCCCGGGGCGUCUCGUUCUCAUUGCGAGAAGAGGCGCACCUAGAGCGUACAYGUUGGGACCCGAAAGAUGGUGAACUAUGCCUGGUCAGGACGAAGUCAGGGGAAACCCUGAUGGAGGUCCGUAGCGAUUCUGACGUGCAAAUCGAUCGUCGGAACUGGGUAUAGGGGCGAAAGACUAAUCGAACCAUCUAGUAGCUGGUUCCCUCCGAAGUUUCCCUCAGGAUAGCUGGCACUCGUUCGAACGCACAUAACGAGUCUCAUCUGGUAAAGCGAAUGAUUAGAGGCCUUGGGGCCGAAACGACCUCAACCUAUUCUCAAACUUUAAAUGGGUGAGAUCUCUGGCUUGCUUGAAUAACAAAAUGAAGCCAAGAGACAAUUUUUCAUAAAAAAUUGGAUCAGAGUGCCAAGUGGGCCAAUUUUGGUAAGCAGAACUGGCGCUGUGGGAUGAACCAAACGCAGAGUUAAGGCGCCUAAGUCGACGCUCAUGGGAUACCAUGAAAGGCGUUGGUUGCUUAAGACAGCAGGACGGUGG
rnacentral:rRNA from 1 species